AGCUCACAGUUGCAUGGUGUGAUGACAGCAGCUGUGAAUAUUUCACAGCAAGAAGAAAAAAGAAACCUUCUGUACUAUAACUAGGAAUCUUUGCUCAACUUCGUGGUGAGGACACUAAAAUGAAACUACUGGCUGAGCAGAGAAGUCUGUCCUCUAAAAAACCCACUUACUCAGCAGUUGGCUAAGUGGCUCCUCUGUUCAUUCAGAAAUAAGUGACAGGGUAAGGCAAAAUGAGAGUUGUAUAGUACACCUACCGAGGUCUGCGAGCUUACUACUGCUGAGCGAAUGCUGUUCUGUAAGAGGCUGUGUUCUAGCAGUGGUUAUCUAGAGGGCUGGAAGUGUCUGGAUAUGAUGUAGACUCUAAACUUCUAGAGAAGUCUCCUCUCUGCCCACCUGUCUUACUAAGCAACUUCACCUCCUCGAUGACAAUGUCAUGAGUGACUGCUUUGCACAUGUCAUACACAGUCAAGGCAGCCAGGCUGGCAGCUGUCAGAGCUUCCAUUUCCACACCUGUCUUCCCCCAGGUCUGGCAGGAGCAGCGAAUCACCACUGCACAUCUGGCCUCAUCCAGGCUCAGGGACACCUCAACAUGGCUAAGAGGGAUGUUGUGACACAAAGGGAUCAACUGGCUGGUCAGUUUAGCUCCCUGAAUUCCUGCAAUCUGUGCUACUGCCAGUACAUCCCCUUUCUUCAUUUGGUUUUGCCUCACCAUCCCAAAUGCCUUCUCACCCAGGCGAACUAUAGCAACAGCAACAGCACUUCUUCUGGAAUCUGGUUUCCCUCCAACAUCCACCAUUGUGGCCCGUCCUUCCUUAUCUGUGUGAGUCAAGUUAUCAGAGGCACGACGGAUCUUGGUGCAAGAUCCCGAAUUCCUGUUAGAGAAUUCAGAUCCUGGAUUUGCCUCUUUGGACUGACAGUCCACAGAAACUUGGCCAACAGGAGAAGCCUCAAGGCACUUUUUGUCAAAUGUGGAGCUCAAGUCCUUUUGGAAGACACAGAAGCCUCUCAGCUGGGUUUGUAGAAUUCCUGUCCUUAGGUACCACUGUUGCUCUGGGUGAAAUAUUGGCAGGGUAAGCUGUUUUGUAAGUUUAUUUCUUAUUAAUGCUUUUCCCAUUUGCUUGGAUAAACUUGCUGUCAAAGUUAGCCAAUGGCUAAAUGCGUGGCCCCACAGUUUUGAAUAUGGGGGAUUCUGGAGGGCAUCUUGGCAUAGAGGGAAUGACAUCAAUGCAGGCUCUGAAAAAGAAGAGAAAAUAACAUGAGGAUAUAUCUCACUAACCAGAAAGCUAAGCUAAGUCUGCAGUAGCUGAGAAUACUGUUGGAGCCCUGCUUGGGACCUUUUGUAUUACAAAAAACUUUAGAAACCUGCAAACAUCCCCUUUUCUCUUCAAGCUUUGUCUUCCCACUCACUCACGCACCAGCAUUUGCUGACUUGUUAUUCUGAACCCUGGGACUUAAAACACUUAUUUAGAAGUCUCUGACAAGAGGAAACAACUUGCUUUUAAAAAGUAUCAAUGCUUACUGAGGAAUAGCAACCAAGAAAGCUUACAAGAACAGCGGGCCUAAAGAUGAGCAAGUCACAGCAUCUCAGCAGCCAUUUGAGACUCUCCCAGCUCCAGUCUUUGAAAGCUUGGCAGGCCCCUGCUGUAUAAUGUGAACAUGCCUUCAAAAAUAUAGAGACUCAAAUUAUUCUUCUGGUUCCCCUGAUUAGCUUUGGAGUUAAAGCUAAUCACCUGCAGCGUCUUGUCUUCAAGAGAAUCUGCACUGCAAAGGCAGACAAGUGUAAAGGCAGAGUAUCAUAUUCUGGAGCAACACAGCUUUUGAGAAGGACUGAAUCAGAAUGGCUUGGAUUGGAAGGGACCUCAAGGAUCAUCAAGUUUCAACCUCUCUGCCACAGGCAGGGUUGCCAGCUGCUAGAUCAAGUACUAGAUCAGAUUGCCCAGCGUUCCAUCCAACCUGGCCUUAAACACCUUUAGGGACAGGACAUUCAAUGAGUAUUUGCCUUCCAAAACAAGGGAAGUAUCUUUUCAUCUACUCCAUCAGUUCCAUAAACAUUUUAUAAGUGGCCAAUUUAAUAAAUCUGACAUGAAUCAGCUGCACUGCAACACAAACUGAAACAAACAGGAUCAAAAUAAAUUAAAGGAACUACCUUCACUGUGACCUCGUUAAUUGCACAUAAACACCUAACGAUAGCUACCUCAGAAAAUGGGUGAAAAGCUAAAGGAUUCCUGGAAUCACAGUGAACUUCAUCUCCUGUAAGAAAACACUUACCAAACCACUUCUGGAUAAAGUGGCAUUUGCCAACAAAAAAAAGUGAAAGUGAAAACUCAGCUACAAAUUUGCACCUCCAUUCAAAAUCUUGCUGGCUAGUCUUGAUAGGCCACAGUAGAUAAAAGGUUACAUAAAGUUUUUACAAAAAUCUAAGAUGCAGAAUGCAGAACAGAGAUGACAUUAGCGACCAGUUAGGUCUCAGGCUGCAGGAUGUGCCCAAGCUUUCUGUCAGUGUCUGAAGGCUGCACUUAGCACACUGGGCGAGGUGCACCCCAGUCAAAGAACUGCUCAGCACAUGAGUUAGUAGCUGUCUGACAGAGCUUUAACUAGACUUGAAGGGAAAAGGAAUAAAAUCAGGCAUGCAAGAGAUAAGCUAUAGGAUAGAGUGCCAAAAUGUGAAGGACAGCACGCUAGUGAGAGCCUUCAGUCUGUUCCAUGAGGUGCUGGGUACAAUGAAGAACAUUUGAAAUGUUUCUACAUCAAUGCACAUAGCAUGAAGAAAAAGUAAGGGGACCUAGAAGCCUUGGCUCAGUCCCAGAACUGCAAUAUCAUUGUGAUAAGCUGUAUUGGAAAUGCUAAGUGACAGCUUGAACCAUUGAUUGAGCACCUGGUGGGAAAGCAGGGCCAACCCAGGGGAGUUCAGGUGCAUGCAAUGCCCCGUGAGUGACCAGAAGGGGUGGAGCCAGGAUCUACCCCAUCCCAGACCUCAUUUAAGGGUUGGCAGUGGAGGCAAGGGUAUUUUGCUGGAGAUUCCUACCUACCUGAGGCCUUCUGAAGGUAAGCAGCUUAUUUCCUUUAUUUCUAUGCCCACAGCUGUUGCAUUUGAGCAAAUCCUCACUUGUUGCAGCUAUGUCCUUGCUGUUAUGCUGUCAUCGCUGUGCUUUCCAUUGUGUUACAUAAGCAAAACCUGGUGGGAAGUUUUCUGGGACUGCUGCCUUCUAAUGGAAAGCUCUGGGCCUUCAGCAGGGACAGGCAGGGGGUGCUAUGUGUGGUGGAGGGGCUGGGCUGUCACUAGGAGUCAUCAGCAGUGUGCCCCAGCAGCUAAAAAAGCACAACUAUAUUAUACCCUAAGGUGCAUCAGGCCCAGCACUGCCAGAUGUAACUUCAGCUACCAGCAACUGAAGUUAUUUUGAUUCUAGCUGAGCCAAUUCUAUGGCUGCUGGUAAACUUACAAGCAGGAGCAGUCUUUCUUGGCAGUAUAAUUUUCUCAUCAGCCUUUAAACAAUUUCCUAUGCUUCCUGAUCCAAAUGGCUUUGUGAUUAGUUAAGGCCUCUAAAAACAACCUUGGUUGUGGAGGGGCUAAAGAAGAUGUAAAGUAAAGCUUCAGAGCCCUAAAAGCACCUGUUUAACCCUGAUAAAAUGGCUUACUAGUAUCCAUGUAAUUGCUUAUCUGCCAAAGUCUCUUUCAGUUUCUGUUUUGCACUAACCACAAGUGGAGACCUCCAGAGGGCGAAAGCCAAGUUCUCCACAGGCUUGUCCUUCCCUUUGCAGGAACACAGAUGUCAAUGGCAACAGCUGUACAAACUAAUUAAUCUACAGGCAUGUACACUGCUCAAAUUCAUUCUUACACAGGAGUCUUCUCCCAUGUGCACAGGCAGAACAACUCAUGUUUUUUUAAUCUCACUGGGGAAAUGCUGCAGCCUGGGCACUUAUGGACAGCUUUAUUUUCCCCAAGAAAUCAAAAGCUGGGAGCUUACUUUGUUGAAAAUGCUUGUUCUUUCUCACUUAGUAUGAGAACUCAUUAGAAAACCAGUUGAAGAAGAGCCUAACUAAAUGUUCAGACUUAACUCAUCUCCCAGCUAGAAAAUAUGAAGAUAUUUUAAAUACUGCUAUUCUCAAAUUAUAAUUCAAAGGUGUUUGUUCUUUGAAAGCCACACUACACUCUGUUCAGGCUGUAUUUCUGAUGUUCUCCUAUCUGUUAUUUUAGGAAUGUGUCCACAUUUGAGAUGGGAAGUACAUCCAUGCUUAUUAUUUUAGUCCUUCUUGCAGGAGCACGCCCCUGCUGCUUCUUUCUCAGUCACUCAUUUUUACACUUAGUGUAGGACAAGGCUUCCUUAUCCACAGCAUGUAAAGGC